AACGAACGCUGGCGGCAUGCCUAACACAUGCAAGUCGAACGAUCCCUUCGGGGCUAGUGGCGAACGGGUGCGUAACGCGUGGGAACCUGCCCUUAGGUUCGGAAUAACUCAGAGAAAUUUGAGCUAAUACCGGAUAAUGUCUUCGGACCAAAGAUUUAUCGCCUUUGGGUGGGCCCGCGUUGGAUUAGCUAGUUGGUGGGGUAAAGGCCUACCAAGGCGACGAUCCAUAGCUGGUCGGAGAGGAUGAUCAGCCACACUGGGACUGAGACACGGCCCAGACUCCUACGGGAGGCAGCAGUGGGGAAUAUUGGACAAGGGGCGAGAGCCUGAUCCAGCAAUGCCGCGUGAGUGAUGAAGGCCUUAGGGUUGUAAAGCUCUUUUACCCGGGAUGAUAAUGACAGUACCGGGAGAAUAAGCCCCGGCUAACUCCGUG
rnacentral:rRNA from 1 species